UGAUUAUCUAUCAUGCAGCCCAACAGCACUCGUGGCUCUGAGGUUGAGGAAAAGUUAAAGGACAUUGUUGUGAAUCACGUACUGAAUUGUACCAGCAGUGGUGGCUUUGGUGGCAAUGAUACCCUACUGCAUGCAGCAUUGGUCACCUUACCUUUUGGAGGCAUUGGAUUCAGUGGCUAUGGCAAGUACCAUGGAAAGUUCUCCUUCGACACAUUCAGUCACCAUCGUGCCUCCCUCUUGCGUUGCAUUGGCAUGGAGGCAAUCAACACAAUCCGUUACCCACCAUAUAAUGAGCGCAAACUUGCAUUGAUGGUCGCUGCAUUGGAGGUCAAACGCAAAGGCAUGAUGUGCACUUUGCUGUGAGCCUCUUGAACAGUACAGAGCUUGUGUGCCUGGAGCUGCAAGGUGGAGAGGAGGGAUUGUGCCUUCAGAUCCUAGGUUUCCACUUUAUUCCCUGGAUGGACCACACGAAAAUUUUACUUUCUGUAAAGCCAUGUUCCCUCAUCUUGAAUGCUUAUCUUGUGCUCUCCCUCAGCAUUGGUAGCCCAUUCAGCAUUUAGGUCAGAGGUGAGGAACACAAGAUGUUGAAAUGCAUCUUUCCCUACAUCUGAUGCACUCACUAUUCCUACAUUGAAUUUUCUAUCAUAGGGUGACCAGUUUAUUGAGGAUGAGCAUGGACAAAGCUUUUGCACUAGGUUCAAGCCAGGGAUCAAUCCCCCCUUUUAAUAUAAUGGCAUGGUGCUAAUUCUGAUUCGGUGUCUGUGAGAACCAGUUUUUUUUUAAACUGACAAUUUGAUCUACCUAUAAACUUGAAUUACCUUUCAAUAAAAGCAAAAUCAUGAAUGUUUCUUUAAGAACUAUUGGAUACUCAAAUUGGAUCCUUAAACCAAUGUAACUUGCAGAGAUGC
rnacentral:lncRNA from 11 species